rnacentral:rRNA from 1 species
CCUACGGGCGGCAGCAGUAGGGAAUCUUCCGCAAUGGACGAAAGUCUGACGGAGCAACGCCGCGUGAGUGAUGAAGGUUUUCGGAUCGUAAAGCUCUGUUGUUAGGGAAGAACAAGUGCGAGAGUAACUGCUCGCACCUUGACGGUACCUAACCAGAAAGCCACGGCUAACUACGUGCCAGCAGCCGCGGUCAUACGUAGGGUGCAAGCAUUAUCCGGAGUGACUGGGCGUAAAGAGUUGCGUAGGCGGUUCGUAAAGUGAAUAGUGAAACCUGGUGGCUCAACCACACGGACUAUUAUUCAAACUCACGAACUCGAGAAUGGUAGAGGUAACUGGAAUUUCUUGUGUAGGAGUGAAAUCCGUAGAUAUAAGAAGGAACACCAAUGGCGUAGGCAGGUUACUGGACCAUUUCUGACGCUAAGGCACGAAAGCGUGGGGAGCGAACCGGAUUAGAUACCCCUGUAGUC